ACUCCUACGGGAGGCAGCAGUGGGGAAUAUUGCACAAUGGGCGCAAGCCUGAUGCAGCCAUGCCGCGUGUGUGAAGAAGGCCUUCGGGUUGUAAAGCACUUUUCAGUCGUGAGGAAGGUAGUGUAGUUAAUAGCUGCAUUAUUUGACGUUAGCGACAGAAGAAGCACCGGCUAACUCCGUGCCAGCAGCCGCGGUAAUACGGAGGGUGCGAGCGUUAAUCGGAAUUACUGGGCGUAAAGCGCAUGCAGGUGGUUUGUUAAGUCAGAUGUGAAAGCCCGGGGGCUCAACCUCGGAAUAGCAUUUGAAACUGGCAGACUAGAGUACUGUAGAGGGGGGUAGAAUUUCAGGUGUAGCGGUGAAAUGCGUAGAGAUCUGAAGGAAUACCGGUGGCGAAGGCGGCCCCCCUGGACAGAUACUGACACUCAGAUGCGAAAGCGUGGGGAGCAAACAGGAUUAGAUACCCUGGUAGGAUAGCG
rnacentral:rRNA from 1 species